ACGCGGAACGGAAGGGAAGUCGGGGGUCGGAGGUCAAAACGCGGCACCGCAUAGCGAUAAAGAGCAUUAACCCUAUAGAAAAUUGGACAUACAAUAUUACUCUCUCUCGCCCUAUGUGUGUAAGGUGGGCGCUUAGAUAAUCGCUGCCCAUAAUUUUCCGUCGUCCAUGGACUCCGCUUCCCCUCAAACAGGUGGCAAUGCUCCUGCUAAACCUUGGGAACGAGCAGGGACCUCAUCAUCGGGUCCCACACCUUUUAAACCCUCAUCACCUGGCAGCACCAGUGAUGUAGUUGAGGCAUCUGGAACGGCAAAACCUGGCGAAAUUGUUCCAGCUGUCAAUAAGAAUACAACUGUGGCUGGAAAUUCUCUUGGUAGGCCUGUACCGACUAGGCCAUGGGAACAGCAAACAUAUGGGAGCACAUAUGGAGGCUAUGGCUCUGGUGUAAAUUAUAAUUCUGGAUACGGCUCUGGAAUGUAUGGUUCUUCAUACGGUGGAUAUGGAGGGUCUUAUGGUGGUGGAUUGUACGGAAAUAACAUGUAUAGAGGAGGUUAUGGUGGUCUAUAUGGAGGCGGUAUGUAUGGUGGUGGCGGAGGAAUGUAUAAUGGUGGUUUUGGUGGUCCAAUGGGUGGUUAUGGAAUGGGCAUGGGCCCAUAUGGUGAUCAAGAUCCGAAUAACCCCUAUGGUGCUCCAUCAUCUCCUCCUGGCUUUUGGAUUUCUUUCCUCCGAGUGAUGCAAGGUGUAGUGAACUUUUUUGGCAGGAUAUCAAUUCUGAUAGACCAGAACACCCAGGCGUUUCACAUGUUCAUGACUGCACUGCUUCAGCUUUUUGAUCGCACGGGCUUAUUGUAUGGAGAGUUGGCGAGAUUUGUUUUGCGAUUGUUGGGAAUCAAAACAAAACCCAGAAAGGUUGAAGGUCCAGGGCCUAAUGGACUUCCUGCUCCUCACAAUCCCCACGGUAAUCAAAACUACAUUGAGGGUCCAAAGAGCGCUCCAAGUGGUGGAUGGGAUAAUGUUUGGGGAGACGGUUCUAGUUAAGCCCACAAUUUCCACUUCAUAAAAUGAUAAAACGAGACUAGAAUUACAAGCUGUGUGGUAUGCAAGGAGAUCCUAUGGAUGCAAAGCUUCUUGGUUGGUUCGCUAAAUUACCUCUGCUGUUUGCUUGAAAUAAAAAUCUCUUCCUCCUGAUUUUGUAACCGAGUUACAGCGACCAUGGAUGUGUGCAAGGAGGAGAGGUGUUUGAUGAUUGAGAAUAUAUGUAGCGUUGUAUACUUGAAUAAAUGAUCAUUAUCUGUAGACUGUAGUUGUGUGCCUUUCAAUGCAAGUUAUAGACUUGUAGAUGCAGAAUGGUUUGAGAAGUCCCUUGUUAACGCCAACGAAAAAAAAAAAAAAAAAAUUAAAGAAAAAAGUUCAUUAUCUCC